rnacentral:rRNA from 2 species
UACAACUUUCAGCAACGGAUCUCUUGGCUCUCGCAUCGAUGAAGAACGCAGCGAAUUGCGAUAAGUAAUGUGAAUUGCAGAUUUUCAGUGAAUCAUCGAAUCUUUGAACGCACCUUGCGCUCCUUGGUAUUCCGAGGAGCAUGCCUGUUUGAGUGU